CCUGGUUACUCCACUGAACAACUCAGGAUUCCACCGCAGUUCUUGAAGCAUCUUAGAAAGGACUUAUCUAGCAAGGCCAAUUUGAGCUUGAACAUGUCUUCACAGUGUUCAUGGAAUGUAAAAGUGACCAAAACAAAGAACGAUGUGUAUUUCAAGGAUGGGUGGCAGGAGUUUCUAAACAAUAACUCAGUGGAUGAAGGUGACUUCCUUGUGUUCACCUAAGAAGGGAAAAUGCAUUUCAGCAUAGCAUUUUUUGACUGGAGUUGUUGUGAGAGAGUCGAUUUUACUAAUGGGACAUGCAAAGAAUCCACACUUGCUAAGAGUACUAAAAGGCCUUGUCAUAAACCAAGAAAACAUAACUCAGCUGCAGAUAACACAGCUAAGGAAUCUGCGAUAUCUUUCAAAUCCAAGUAUCCUCAUUACAAAAAAGCUAUUAAUAAGACUUAUUGUGUU